rnacentral:rRNA from 1 species
GAUGAACGCUGGCGGCGUGCUUAACACAUGCAAGUCGAACGAUGAAGCCCAGCUUGCUGGGUGGAUUAGUGGCGAACGGGUGAGUAACACGUGAGUAACCUGCCCUUGACUCUGGGAUAAGCCUGGGAAACUGGGCCUAAUACUGGAUAUGACUUCUCAUCGCAUGGUGGGGGGUGGAAAGAUUUAUUGGUCUUGGAUGGACUGGCGGCCUAUCAGCUUGUUGGUGGGGAAAUGGUUCACCAAGGCGACGACGGGUAGCCGGCCUGAGAGGGUGACGGGCCACACUGGGACUGAGACACGGCCCAGACUCCUACGGGAGGCAGCAGUGGGGAAUAUUGCACAAUGGGCGCAAGCCUGAUGCAGCGACGCCGCGUGAGGGAUGACGGCCUUCGGGUUGUAAACCUCUUUCAGUAGGGAAGAAGCGAGAGUGACGGUACCUGCAGAAGAAGCGCCGGCUAACUACGUG